GAUGAACGCUGGCGGCGUGCCUAAUACAUGCAAGUCGAGCGAACAGACGAGGAGCUUGCUCCUUCGACGUUAGCGGCGGACGGGUGAGUAACACGUAGGUAACCUACCUAUAAGACUGGGAUAACUUCGGGACACCGGAGCUAAUACCGGAUAAAAUUUCGAACCGCAUGGUUCGAUAGUUAAAGAUGGCUUUGCUAUCACUUAUAUAUGGACCUGCGCGGUAUUAGCUAGUGGGUAAGGUAACGGCUUACCAAGGCAACGAUACGUAGCCGACCUGAGAUGGUGAUCGGCCACCAUCGAACUGAGACAGGGUCCAGACUCCUACGGGAGGCAGCAGUAGAUGAUCAUCCGAGAUGGACGAGAGCCUGACGAAGCAACGCCGGGUGAGAUAUAAGGGAUUUCGGAUCAGGAUACUCUUUUAGUUGGGAAAGACAAACGUGUAAGUAACUGUCCGCGGCAUGGCGGUUCCUAAACAGAAGGCAACGGCUAGCAACGUU
rnacentral:rRNA from 1 species